CCCUGCCUGACAGGGGGGCAAACUCUUGGAGCACUGUAUAUGUUUCCAGCCUCAAGUUCAUUAAGAGCUAGAAACUUCAGCCACUCUUCUGGAGUGGGAUGGGGUGGUGAAUUGAAUUUGUACAGGUAGGUUCAGGACUGGACAUUUGCUAACUAAUCUUUCUUUCCUUCUUAAUUUCUCUGAGAACAAGAAAGUCUCCAAUAAGGUCAUAACAGCUGGCAAGACACGAACUGGGAGUGAAAGCUGAUCUGUUGAGAAGGGAGCUUAUUUUGAAUAGCCUUUUGAAAUGUGCUUAAUCUCUACAGUGUUGGUUAACCCCUUCAGACGUGUCUCGCUUUGUGGUUAUAUGUAGCAGGGCUGUGUUCACAUUCAAAGGAGCAUGCAUAAUCCAGCAGGUUGCAGCGAUAUCAAGUUCAGCAGGGGGCAGUCUUUGCUUUGAAUCGGCAUCUGUUCUUUCAGUCUGAUGCUCCAGAGUUUUCCACAGCAGGAUCCAAAAUCUUUCAUGUGACGGCAAAAGAAAGGUUUGAAGCACUGGUGGUUCUUAAACAGUCCUAUCAUGCCAUCAUUUGCAAAGGGAGGAUUGUUAACCCUUGCUCACUAGGUAGACCUCAUGCCAUAUAACAGCCAUUUGCCUUGUCCGUUUCAAGACAGCCUUGCCUUUUUAAUUUCUGAAUUGCUAGGCAACACUGCUUCACACUUUGACACUGACUUUUGGACCCCUUACUGUACCAAACCAAUGGCUUCAAGUUCCAAGAAAGGAGGGUUUGACUAAACAUCAGGGAGAACUUUCUGACAGUUAGUGUUGUUUGAUGGUGGAACGGACUCCCUCAGAAGGUAGUGGACUCUCCUUCCUUGGAGGUUUUUAAGCAGAGGCUGAAUGACCAUAUGUGAUGGAUGAUUUAGUUAAGAUUCCUGGGAGUUGGACUAGAUGACCCUUGGGGUCCCUUCCAACUCUACAAUUCUAUGAUUCUGUGAGGAUAUCCAUUUCAGAUGCCCGUAGAAAACUACUAGGACGAAACACACUGGCUUUCCUUUUCAAAGAGGUCCUGCAAACUUGGCCUUAGGUACAGAGGAAGCUGCCAUUUACUGAGUCAACUCAACAGUCCAUCUAAAUCAGCCUUUCUCAACCUGUGGGUCCCCAGAUGUUGUUGAACUACAACUCCCAUCACGCCUAGCUAGCAAGGCCAGAGCUCAGAGAUGAUGGGAGUUGUAGUCCAACAACAUCUGGGGAGCCACAGGUUGAGAACCGCUGAUCUAAAUCAAAACUGUCUACACUGACUAGCAUGGCAAGAGCUCUACAGGGUUUCAGAGUUUCAGAAAGCCUUUCCCAGCCCUACUCAGAGACUCGAGGGAUUGAGCCUCAGAGGUUCUGCAUGCAAAGCAGAUGUUUUGCCACUAAGAUAAUUUCAUGGCUCAGCCUUGCAGGCAGAUUCUUUCCUCCUUAUCUGUGGCCCUUUAAGAUUGUUCAUCUUCAAGAAAGUUAAGGGGCAAUAUUUGGUCCCAGCCCUGAAGAUGAUGGUGAUGUUGUUGUUGUAAUGUUUUCAUUAAAUUUUUACUGAAACUUUUUCAUCAUACAAUACAACAACAACAACAACAACAAAAACUAAUCUAAAGGAAUAAAUAAAUAAAUAAGGAUGAAGUGAAUACAAAGCCCUCUCUUGAAAGUAGAUCUGAAUGCUUGUCCUACACAGAAAGAGGUGAACCCUCUCAGCUCUCACCUGGGAGCUCCCCUUUCUUCUCCCAGUCUCCCACCCUGGGUUCCCUUCCCUGCCUCUCACACAGGGCACCCAGUCCUAAUUGAAGUAUUUUCCUUCACAGAGACAGUACCAGCCCUACCAUUAGGCAUCUACUUCAGUUGGUGGAUGCUGGGAGGUGCUUCUCCUGAGCUUCUCCAAGCACUCAUCUCUGUUGAAGGACAGAGCUGUGGGACACUCAGGCCUACACUAGCCUCAGGGAGAGUGGAGGAUAUUGCCAGUCUACUUGACUUUUGUACACAGAAGGGGGAAAGGGCACCAUCUUGUCUUUGCCUCAGGUAGUAAAAUAUCUUGAGCCAGCCCUGUCUGGGGAGAUAAUUUUAAAAGUUUCAACUUUAACUCUUCUCAGACCCAAAUAUAGUGAACAAACUGUUAAUAACAAUACAGAGAAAAGGGACAGGAAUGUUGGGUCACAGUUAGUAUCAAACCUUGCAUUGCAGAUUUGAAUGCUGGAUUUGCCCUUCUCACUCCUCACUGUUUGCUAUCUUCACGCCAACACAUAAUUCAGGCUAAAUAUUUGUGGUUCGUUAUUAUUCAGGUGUUUGCUUCGAUGCUGAAGUUCUAAAAUGAUAUAAACUGACAGAAGUGAGGGUUUAAGCUAUCAAAUUCUUCCAUCAAAUGCAUCCUAGCAAAGCACCUGUGAAGAAAAGAAAUAUGUUUCCAAAGAAGGAAUUUCAAAUAAAGGAAUCUAGCAGGGAUAGCAGGGAUGUUAAUACAACUCAACACUCAGGUUGCUGACUUCUCUAGAGACUUACACAGGAUUCUACAGAGCCAAUUCACCUCAGGAAUUCUGUGAUAGUUUGGCUCACUAUCUUACUCAUGUGAACAUAGUUACAUAAUUGUGCAGUCCUCGCUAGAGUGGCUAACCAUGUGGAAAAAAAUCUAGUCAUCUUUUUCUCUAUGGUUUCACUCAAUGUACUGGCACAAAAUGUCAUUAAUCUCCCUAUGUAGAGCAACCAUAUAUGCAAGGGAAGAGGCUAUGGAAAUGGAAGCCUUAACUUCUGCCUCACUGCUAACCAUAUUUGAGGGGAUAUGCUUCUCCAACCUUUUUUUUUUUUUUAGCCAUGUUGUUGUUUGUUGUUGUUUAGUCGUUUAAUCGUGUCCAACUCUUCAUGACCCCAUGGACCAGAGCACGCCAGGCACUCCUGUCUUCCACUGCCUCCUGCAGUUUGGUCAGACUCAUGUUUGUAGCUUCGAGAACACCGUCCAACCAUCUCGUCCUCUGUCGUCCCCUUCUCCUUGUGCCCUCCAUCUUUCCCAUCAUCAGGGACUUUUCCAGGGAAUCUUCUCUUCUCAUGAGGUGGCCAAAGUACUGGAGUCUCAGCUUCAGGAUCUGUCCUUCCAGUGAGCACUCAGGGCUGAUUUCCUUAAGAAUGGAGAGAUUUGAUCUUCUUGCAGUCCAUGCAACUCUCAAGAGUCUCCUCCAGCACCAUAAUUCAAAGGCAUCAAUUCUUUGGCAAUCAGCCUUCUUUAUGGUCCAGCUCUCACUUCCAUACAUCACUACUGGGAAAACCAUAGCUUUAACUAUACGGACCUUUGUUGGCAAGGUGAUGUCUCUGCUUUUUAAGAUACUGUCUAGGUUUUUAGACAUAGUCAACAACAAAUAUCCCACAAGAUUCAUCUAGCAUAAACAACACACAUGGCACUAUUAUACUUCAUUCCCCAUCUCAGGACCUAAAAACAUGGUCACCUUACCCUAAUUCUAAGUUACUUGGAGAGGGUAAUCAACACUGCCCAUUAGGGACGGGGGGGGAGAAAUUUGACUCAAUUUGCAUUUAAAGGUGGACCUACCAGGUCUGUACUUUCUGGAAAAAAGAUGAACUGAAAUACACACCUUUCAAAAACUCACACUUUUUCAGGGCAGUUCUCUAGCAAGGCAAUGCAUGCAGAAAUGUUUAUACCAAGGUCAAAUGUGCAUAAAUGUGUAUAAAAUAGUAUACGUUAGAAAACAACAUGCACAAUUAGGCAAAGUUGCUUUGCAAAAUUGCAUAUAUUAAGAGCAUCUUGCCCUAAAACGCUGCUGAAUUUUCAUGGGAGCUUUAAAAAAAAAUCCACUCAAACUGAUCUGGAAAUGUGGAGAAAUAAAGAUUGGAGAAAAGAGAUACUGAGGAAAAACCUGAAAUUGGAAGAAUCACCCAUCCCUACCGCCCUAAAGGGCAAUUGGGUCUUCUGGGAUAGAAGGUGAAGAAGUCAAAAGGAAAGAUCUAAUAAAGACGGGUAAUAUAGGAGAAGAGAAGAUGAUAUAAAGCAGAUGUACUCUAACGGAACUUCCACUGCAGUGUAAAAUGAAACAGGGAAAAUCCUGCAUUUGUAGACAUGACAUAAACUUGGAUUUGAACCUUUCUUCCUUUUUUCCACUUGUGUUUUUUUUUUGUAGGCACACUCAUUCGAGUAACUAAAAAUAGGUUCCUAAUCACAUUUCAGCACUGUCAGUACCCAUUGCCGAUGUCACCAUCUGUUAUUUGUUUUUUAACCCAUUACAUUGUAAGGCCUGUGCAGUCUGCUUUGUGUCGCACGCUUCCUCUAAUCCCAUGUCCUUUUGACUCACGCCCAAUCCCACUUCGCACAUGGCAACGCGAGGUACAAGAACAAUGAAUACAAAAGCCAAAUGAGUAUUCUUCUCUCCCUCUCUCGCUCCCCUCGUAUCAACUUCUCGUAUUGACUCUUUCUCGUAUCAGAAAGCUAUAAAGGGAAGAGAUGGAACUCGCAGUUGACCUCUCAAGUACUUUGAGAUUGCUUCAUGAUUUUGUCCAAAUUGCUUAGGAAAUAAGGUAGGCAGGAUGCUUUUACAAGCUUGUAACCAGCCAAUCUCCUGAACUGCUAUGGUUAGGUGAGUGGCUUUUGUAUAGAUACAUGUGACUAGGUGACUCUAUCACCCUCAAAUCUAAUUUAAAGCACUACUAACCAAAGAUCCGGGACGCGGGUGGUGCUGUGGGUUAAACCACAGAGCCUAGGACUUGCUAAUCAGAAGGUCAGCGGUUAGAAUCCCAGCAACAGUGUGAGCUCCCAUUGCUCGGUCCCUGAGCCUGCCAACCUAGCAGUUCGAAAGCACAUCAAAGCGCAAGUAGAUAAAUAGGUACUGCUCCAGUGGGAAGGUAAAUGGCAUUUCCGUGCACUGCUCUGGUUCGCCAGAAGCAGCUUAGUCAUGCUGGCCACAUAACCCAGAAGCUGUACGCCGGCUCCCUUGGCCAAUAAAGCGAGAUGAGUGCCGCAACCCCAGGGUCGGCCACAACUGGACCUAAUGGUCAGGGGUCCCUUUACCUUCACCUUUAACCAAAGAUCCCAAUGCAAGAUUCAACUGAGAGGUGUGCCUAAAACUCUCUUUCUCCCUGGCAGCCUCAAGAUCUUGCUUACAUUUCUCCACAAGGACAAGCUCAGAGUACCUGAGCUUUCUGCCUUGGGAUUCCAGGACUUUGCAGUUGCCUGGGGGGGGGGGCGGAAAUCACAGCCAAAUUCAGAAACAAUGGGAUGGCCACUCCCCAAAUAAUUAUUUGCAGUGUUGUUUGCUAUUUUACAUCUCACUGAUGUUGUGUGUGAAGACCGCCAAAACCACCCCCAAAUGAAGACACAAUAGACACAGAUUUUAUUUUAAGGUUUUUGGCAUUAAAUUUUGGGCACAACAUUAUUGAUUACAGCAUGUGAGUGGUUGCUUAGGCAUUGGUUCCAGACUACCUGAACCUGCACGGUGGCAGGAACAGGACUGACACUGGGCACCACCAUAUGUCAGUAAGGGAAAGCAUCCUGGGGGAGCGAGAACUUCUUCGAUCUCACAGCUCACCCCAGAUGCUCCCAGGGGAUCUGGUGUGGCCCUAGCCCCUUGGCAGGGUUCGGACAAAAGCAAAGCGAGCCCCUGGAUUCCUUUAACGGAAUUCCCUAGCAGCAGCAAUGGAGGGGCAGGCACAGCCAACCAUGUCCUCUCCCCAAAACACUGAACCAAUGCCUAACAGCCAACCUUAAAAAGUUGUGACGAUUUGCUAUACGGUAGGCAAAAACCAAGUGGCACCAGCCAAUCAGUCAAAUGGCAAAAUUCCUACCAGGGCCCUGCUUCAAAACAGACGACCCCUAGACAGGCAUAGCAAGGCCUUAAGAACAACCCUAAAUAUAGGGAGAGGAGGGCGGGUGAUCCGCUGCACGUCGCAAGAAAGUGAAACUCUCCAGCGACGUGCAGCAGCUUAAGUAGCCCCUCAGCAGCCAAUAGCCAACCCAACUGACGAAAUUUCUGCCCCAGCAACAGAGGGGCAACCAGUGGGGUGUUGUGGUCAUCCAAAUGGUCCCGCCCCACAACAGGGAGGCAGUUUCUUGUGAUCUCACUGCAACACCAUGAUGGAGGACCCAAUUUAUCAAAUUGGCACACACAAAAAUGCUACAUUUUGGAGAUGUUACCAAAUGUAAGCAUUUUCUGUCCUCGUACCCAAACAAGACCCAGGAUCAAGGUGGGAGCAGAAUCUGAUUUAAAGAGGAAAGGAGGGCAUGUAGCUAAGGAGGAUGAACCCAUCACCCAUCCUCAGCUUACCUAUUUUCUUCCAGGCAGGCUCUCUGCUGACAGUGGAUUAAGGCUUCAACUCUUGGAACAGCAAGAGAAGAAGUUUAGAGUGCUGUUGCAGAUUUUUUAUUGUGUGAUCUGCUUUAAAAGCUGCUGCUUGCUUUUAACUGCCAGACAUUUUGCUUAUUUGUUUGUUUUGCUUAUAGCUUGCAUGCUGUCACGUGUUUAGGUUGUACUGUACUUAUUGUAUUUUGUCAAAUUUGUGUCAGAUUAUUAUUUAUCAUCACCAUUCUUUUAGAAAGCUAUAUAUGCAGCCUACUUCAUAAUAUUAUUCUAAGGAUGAAGCUGGUUACAGUAAAGCACAAUGGACACUAGAAAUCACUGCAGAAUCAGCUAAUGGCCUGUUUAAGAGGAACAAAAUCAGCUUAUCCUAACAUCACAUAUUGGCUAUGAAAUGGCGUUUGUGCUGGGAAGAGUCCUCAUGACUUUGUGUAUUUUCCCCCGCCAAGUGUGUAAGUUCAAAAGAAUCCGAAUUGCAAUCAAAAUGGAAAAUUGUGUUGUUUUGAUGACCAGCAAAUAUAGACAUAUUUCUACUACAUUCUGAGUUCAGUGCGUUUAUCUGCUGCACUGUAAUGAACACUCGGGGGAAUGCUUUCAUCAACUGAAACCCUAAAUUAUAUUUCCAUUUCCUAAGCCAUUGGUAAAAUUGAAGUUAUAUACAAAAUUCCCCUUGGGGUGAAUUUGGGAGUACUUUCUCAGGUAAAACAUCCAAGGAAUUUUGAACAAAACAAAGUUUCAUUAAAUAAAAUCUGCUAUAAGGCUCUGAAUAAAAAAUUAAAGCAAAUUUUGGGAUGCCUCCUGAGGCAAAACAUAUGAGGAUUUUUUUUUAGGGAGCUCCUCUGAAACUGGUGACAUUUUUCACAAAGUUGGGGUGUGACACACUUCGCCUCAUAACAUGCUGUGUCUAAUUUGUCUCCCUCGCUUUUAUUCAUUCUCUGAUGGGUCGUGUGGUCUGCAGUUUGAGCCUGUGCCAAAAUGACAACUAGCCAACCAAUUUUUGUUGGUUUUGAUGAGUGUUUUGGAAUUAACCCAUCAGCUAAAUAGCCAUUCAAGGUGUGAGGCACAAGUAGAGAGAGAGAACUUUCUAUUAAGAGAUCAGUUUUUCAUGUUUGGUAUUUGGAGCUUCCAAGGUUUGUAUUUUUUUCCUGCUUUCUCCUUUAAAGUAUCAGUAACAAUAAUACAUUCUGAGUAACUGAAGGAGGUAAAAGAGGCCUGCAGAAAUAAAGCACCAAAGCAAUAUGCUGACGAGAGCGAUUAUGCCUUCUGCUCUUCUACCUUGAUGCUGUCUCUUGUCAUCCGUGGGGGAAUGAGCUCUGUGUUCCCUUUUGUUUGUUUACUGUGGGAAAGCACUAGCCAUGAAUCAAUGCAAUUUCUUGAUCUCCUGGGAAGCACAGAAUGCCUUUGUUUCUAUGUGCAGUCUUGUCCUUUAUACCUGUGAACCAGCAUAAUUACCGAAGGUCAUAUCAUGUUCAAACGGAACACAGUUUAUGAAACCCAGGGACAAAAAAAUACAGAAGAGAAUGUUUUCUGCAGGUCUGUCUCAUCUUGCACUACAAUAGAAUUAACUAAUGGCAAAGAAGAAGAAAUCUUUAUAAAGCAUACAAAGCAACAAAGGAACAUAAUCCUUGAGAGCUAUGAACAGGCUAAAAUGGGACGUUCAGACAUGAAUACUCGUCACUGUAAUUUGAUGAAGUAUUCCGCCUUGUUUAACCGAACACGGGAACCCAGGUCUAGUCUUAUUUUUCAUUAGUCUAAAAUUUAUUCCCUGCUUGUUGAAUGCCAAUUGGCAUUCCCAGAGCAGCUUAGAAAGAAGAAAAUAUACAAUAAGCAUGAAACGUAUCUAAAGCAGCAGCAAAAUCAUAGUGCGGCAGGGAACAACCUCCAGCCCCUAAACAAAACAAAAUUUAUUUCAGAGCUGCUUUGAGAAGUCCACUUAGUUUCUUGGUGUGUUGGCACUAUGUGCUGGUGAUGCCAUUCCUCUCCCAAACUGGCACAGUUUCUGGGUGUGGGGGCUUCCUGGUUGGCAGGACUGAAUAAUAAUACUAAGAAUAAGAAUAAGAAUAAGAAUUUAUUAUUUAUAGCCCAUCCAUCUGGCUGGGUUUCCUCAGCCACUCUGGGUGGCUUCCAACAGAGAUUAAAAAUACAUUAAAAUGUCACACAUUAAAAACUUCCCUAAGCAGGGCUGCCUUCAGAUGUCUUCUAAAUGUCAGGUAGUUGUUUAUCUCUUUGACAUCUGAUGGGAGGGCGUUCCACAGGGCGGGCACCACUACCGAGAAGGCCCUCUGCCUGGUUCCCUGUAACUUGGCUUCUCGCAGCGAGGGAACUGCCAGAAGGCCCUCAGAGCUGGACCUCAGUGUCCGGGUUGAACAAUGGGGGUGGAGACGUUCCUUCAGGUAUACUGGGCUGAGGCCAUUUAAAGGCUUUAGUCACUUGCCUCGCUGGCCAGGACCAAUCAUGGGUGGGCUUGGAGGUGGGCUUUUCUUGGGGUGGACUCAAUGGAACAUACAGGUUUCCCUUGGGUCCUAGGGGAUUGAAACCUGCUAGCUCUGAUCCUCAGUUUUGUGCUGGAGCUACCCCCUCCCCUUUUUUAUAAUGUCUUUCAUGUUGCAUUUUUGACCUUGUUAUGGCCUUUGUGGGCCAGGCAGGGGUCAUAAGUCAUAGGUCCUAGUUCAGGGCCAUAGUUCAGUGGGAACUCGAUGGAACCUUGGUCUUGUCUGGGUUCUAUGUUGCUUUGCAGUACUGUUUCUCCUAAGUGAACACAACUAUUGAAGUUCUCCCAACCCCUGAGGCUUUCUGGUAUUAGGGAAAGAUUUCGUCACACAGUGCGUACCCUUCCCCACCCCACAGGAUACUUCCGUCCCUACACACGUACAAAACUUCGACCGAAAUGUAUUGUUUCUGUGACUUUGUGUACCUAUUUAGAAGCCGAUCCCAUCUAAAUCUGCCUAUUUACAAGUCAAUCCUACACAAAUCUCUGUGUAUUUAUAAAAGCUCGGGCAAGUCACAUAAUUUAUUCAGGAGAGUUGCUAACAGCUUUGCAAGAAAGCUCAAAUUGGCAGACUGAAUGCCUCUACACAGCAGGUUGAUUUUUAUUAUUUUUUUUAAAAAAGAGUAAAAUACAAUAUCUGUGGGUUUUGCAUGCCGCAGAACUGCUAUAAGGAAAGAGCGUUGCUGCUUUGCAUUAUGUACUAUUGCCACGAGAAAGUCCUCAUUAUUUGUGCCGUUUGUGAUUAAGCCUUAAUUCCAGUGAAAUGGGUUACAUAACAAGGCCUCACAUUAUUUGCUAAGCUACCCAGACACUGACCUUCUCACGUACUGUUUGGAAAGCGCACUUCACUCUGUCAGCAAAUAUCUUCGUGCCGCAAUUGCUAAUCAUCAUUUUGGCAAAUAUGUUCUGUUCUGGUACCUCUGUUGUGAAACAAACUGGGAUCAGGAAGGGGUUUUAUUUCCGGAAAAGGAACUAAUGUUUUUCCACUCAUCCUAUAGAACAUUGCAGCCUGUCAGAAAUAGGCACAGUUGGAGUUACCUGUUGUUGCUUCUUCUUCUUUUGCACACUGCUUUGGGAUAUCUUUAAAUAUAUUAAGUAGCAUAGAAAUUAAAUAAUCAAAGCAAUCAAACCAAAUGUAAGAUCAAUAGAUAUAUGUAUAGACUGAUAAAUAUGGUGGGUAUUUCAGUAGUUAGAAAUGAAAUAUUCAUUCCCCCUCCACAAUUAUUCACUUUGUUUGUUUGUUUAUUAUUGUGAUUAUUGAUAUUCUUUUCUGCCCCAGCUACAAAAAAUGUUUCGUGUUGUCUCUGGAGCAAAUAGCAGUUUUGCAUGCUGAGAGACAACUCCUCAUUUGAAAUCCAUUCAAGGUACCGAGCCACAUUCACCUUUGGAGUGGGGAAAAUUCAGAAGGUGGGAUACACACUCCGAAAUACCCCCUUGAAAUUAAUACAGUAUAUAUACAAUAUUUAUUUGUAAGGUGCUUUGAUACUCCUUGGGGUAGAAUACGAGGAAUAAAUGCAAUAAAUGGUACGAUUAAUACUGUAGGUAUUUGAAGGCUGGUUGGGAUGCUUGAAACUCUCCACACGGAUCAGAGAUGCAGCCAUGCAGAGAAAGCAACAUCUGGCUCAGCCUCACUAAAGGCCACCAUUUUACCAUGCCACCAAAUUCACAUAGAUGGCUACUUGGAACAGUGUGGGCUUCCUAGGAGGGAUAUCACUUCUUCCACUUGCUGGCACCCAUGGGGAUGUGUUUUGUGUAGGGCAGGGAUAGCCACUGUGGUGCCCUUCAGAUGUUGCUGGACCACAACUCCCAUUUUCCCUGAGUUUUGACCAUCGGCUGCUCCAAGUACAGAGGGUUUUAGAGUAUUUAAUUCUAAAGUGGGUUUAAGAAUAUGUUCUAAGGCAAUACAACAACAACAACAACAACAAACUGCUUCCAUCUCUUUCUCCUUCUCCCAUCUCAAAAUAUCCCAUUUAUAAAACACCACUGUUUGCUUUGCCUUUGAUUCUGGACUACCAGCUAUUAAUACUCUCCAGCACUAACUUACCCAGCCCAGUGGCAGCCCCCUCUUCUAUGGAAAUCAUUAUCUCCAGCUGAAAUAUUGUGACAGACGAACAGAAAAUGCUGUCUUGCCCCUGCUUAAUAGCAUUACCCAAUCCUCCUCAUUUUAGGUUUAUUGAGAAGUUUAUUUUUAUUUUUUUAUGCCUCUGCACAAUUACAAAAAGAAUCUGCUAAUGCCUAAUGGGACUUAAUCUCUCCAACUAAACAAGGGAGCAAAGCAAUAAAUUCCCCCAAAUUGGAUUUACCCAUGAGAAAUAAUGAAGGAAAGGCGCAUGGGUAGCCCCAGCUAUACACCCGGAAGACUUUAGCUUUCCCUGCCACUGAAUAUAUGACAUAACAAAGAAGGAUAUAUAUGCUCCUUUUUUCUCUCCUUGAAGAUAACUGACUGGAAUCCAGAAAGCAAGAUUUUUGCCACAAGGAUUUAUUAAUCCAGGCAAGUUUAAACAUAGCACUGUAGAUUACAUGGGAGGAUGCCCUUCUCCAGCACUUAAAAGAUAAGAGGGGAGUGCAACUGCUUCAAAGUGCCUUUUUUUGCUGCUUUCCAAGAAGAGAAUUGAACGGAGAUUCAGUAAUUUGGAGGAAGGCUAAGGAUGCUUCCAGACUCUUGCAGUUUUUGAGUGGGAUCCAAACACAUGCCAGCAAAUUCAGGCCAUGCAAUUAAAGCUGAUUGGGAGCUCUUGCACAAUCUUUUUGCUUCUCCAAAAGAUCUAAUUUUAUUUUUAUUAUUAUUAUUACAAUUAGGAAAGUGAUGCCUCAAGUGCUAGGCAGUGCUACUCACACCUAUGUCCAGGAAGACAUGCGGGCAUCUGAAUGCAAGUUUUGACAUUAAGCAGAGGUCUGCAUUGCUACUAAAUAACUGUUGGUAGUACAUAAGAAGGAAAUAUCUGUGUAUUACCCAGCACCAGACCCCCUCCCUACUUGGUUCUGUUUUGUUUUGUUUUUAAACCUAGGUUGGCACAAAUAUUUUCCUUUCUAGACCUUAUCCAAGCUGGCGCAGGGAAGAGGGAGCCAUAAAGCAAUAUCAGUGUCGCUAGGGGAUGUGUUAUAUUAACAGACAAGAAACAGCUUCGGAAAGGAAAUAUUCUGUUCCACUUAAAGUUUGAUACGCCAUCUUCUCAUUUUGGGGUAUUCGUUUUUUAUGCUGUACAGUGGUAUAAAUCAUUUUUAAUAAAUGCAUAAUCAAAUAAUUCUGUAGCAUAGGAGUAGCAGCAUCUGGAAAACUGCUAGCACAAAGCAAAUGCCAUUUAAAUCCAGAAUUGAGCUCUUGCACUAAAAAAAAAAAAAAAUAGUUUGCAGGACUCUGCCCUGGUGAGUUGAGAUUAAGCCCUGUGUCUGACCUGACCUGCCUCUUGCCUGUAAAGUCCCCACCCCCUUUUAAUCUGAGGAUUCUGGAAGUGUCCCAUCAUGCUGAUGCUGUAAAUCAGGAGUGAGGAAUCUGUAGCCCUCCAGAGCUUGUAGGACUACAACUUCCAUCAUCCCUGGCCAAGCUGGCUGGGACUGAUGGGAGCUGGAGUUCAACAGCCCCUGAAGAGCCUUAGGUUCCCUGCCUGCUCUAAAUCACCCAUUUCUGGAGAGUUUCGCCCUGUAAAAUACCCUACAACAUUUCCUUGAUAAAAAUAAAGGUAAAGGUAAAGGGACCCCUGACCAUUAGGUCCAGUCGUGACCGACUCUGGGGUUGCGGCGCUCAUCUCGCUUUAUUGGCUAAGGGAGCCGGCGUACAGUUUCCGGGUCAUGUGGCCAGCAUGACUAAGCCGCUUCUGGCGAACCAGAGCAGCACACGGAGACGCCGUUUACCUUCCCGCCGGGAAGGUAUCUACUUGCACUUUGACGUGCUUUCGAACUCCUAGGUGGGCAGGAGCAGGGACCGAGCAAUGGGUCACCCAGUCGCGGGGAUUCGAACCGCCGACCUUCUGAUCGGCAAGUCCUAGGCUCUGUGGUUUAACCCACAGCGCCAGCCGCGUCCCGCGUUGAUAAAAAUAGGGACGUUCUAUUCCAUCAUCACCAUCAUUUUAUUAUUUAUACCCCAUCCAUCAGACUGGGUUGACCCAGCAACUCUGGGCAGCUUCCAACAUAUAUAAAAACCAUAAUAAAACAGCAAACUUAAAAAAACUUCCCAAUGCAGGGUUGCCUUCAGAUGUCAUCUAAAGGUACAUAGUUACAUCUCUUCUUGUCUCAGGGGUUGCAUAACUCCCUACCCUCCAGCAUUUCUCUGAUUAAAUGGGGACAUCCUACCAUACCCUUCAGGGAUGUGGGUGGUGCUGUGGGUUAAACCACAGAGCCUCUUGGGCUUGCCGAUCAGAAGGUUGGCGGUUCGAAUCCCCGCAACGGGGUGAGCUCCUGUUGCUUGGUGCCUGCUCCUGCCAACCUAGCAGUUCAAAAGCACGUCAAAGUGCAAGUAGAUAAAUAGGUACCACUCUGGCGGGAAGGUAAAUGGCGUUUCUGUGUGCUGCUGUGGUUCGCCAGAAGCAGCUUAGUCAUGCUGGCCACAUGACCCGGAAGCUGUACGCCGGCUCCCUUGGCCAAUAAAGUGAGAUGAGCGCCGCAACCCCAGAGUCGGUCACGACUCGACCUAAUGGUCAGGGUUUCCUUUACCUUUACCUUUACCAUACACUUCAACAUUUCUCUGAUGAAAAUAGGGAUUCCCUAAAGAAAAGCAGGACAUUCCAGGGUCACAUCAGAAAAACUGGGACGGCUUCUGUGAAUCCAGGAUGGUCCCUAGAAAAUAGGGACACUUGGAGGGUCUGCUUUUAGCCUUAUUCUGACGCUUCUUGCUGAAUAUUUUAAGGUUUAAUUAAAAAAGAAUCAAAACGAUUUCUUUCACAUGAUCUCAUUCCUCUCCCACACACCGCCUCGUCAUUUAAAAAUAUGUAUCUCCCCCACCACCUACCAUGCUAUCAGCAAAUCAUGUGCUACCCAAGAGAGGUACUGUUACAUAAUUACACACAACACACACACAAGAGGGAGGGAGGGAAGGAGGAAGAGAGAGACUGACUAUUGUGGUGUUAUAAUUAAAGCCACAGAUGUUGUGGUAUUAUGGCAAACCCCACACAGAUUCUGCCCGCCCCAACUUUAUUUACAGCAUUGCCAAUCUGUAACCCUGCCGCAUUGCUAGUGCUUCCAGCGCCCAGGCAAACAUCGUGUCAUCAUUAAGCAUUUAGAGCAAACCAGCAACGAUUAAAGAUUUAUAAAUCUUAUUGGGUUACACGGCAAGGCACAAGAACAAGAAUAAACCCCGAAGUCAACUUUUAUUUUUGUUCCAGAACAACGGCAACACAGAGACAUCCUUUAUGAACAGAGGGUGCGUGUAGAGCCUCUGGUUGCUUAAUUUGGAUUUAUAAUGAAAAAACAUUUUGUCUGGGGACAUAGGAUUCCUAGGAAUGAUGACUUACCAGUAAACUUCCUUUUAUUUUCCUUUUGGUUCUGCUCUGGCUCUCCUUUAUAUUUAAAACAAAGGUCUGUUGGCUGUGUGUGAGGUAUCUAGUGAUAUGAAAGGUUUGCCUCUGGUAUCAGUGAUAUCAGAAUUUACCUAAAAUAGUAAAUUCCUAGCAAUGGCUGUGUGGGUCUUAACUUUAUCAUUUACUAUAAGAAGAAAGCUAAAGACGUAUAUUGUUGCCCUAAGUACCGAUUACAAAGAAAGCUUGUUUUCCACACGUGCCCAAUCCUGGCAAUAUUUUACUUCAAAUAAACCUUUGCCCUUGAUUGAGGCUGCUUCUUGUAAACCUAGUGUGAAUUUUCCAAGGAAGCAUGAUUAAAAAAAAGAAUAUUGAUGCAGACAUGGUGACUGAGGGAUAAGGGAUAUAAAAAUCAACACUGCGGGGAUGGAAAAUUAUGUGGAGAGGGUUGAUAGUGCCAUGCUACUUGUGAAGCCAUUGCAAAGUACACAAAUGUACUCUAUUAAAUGUUUUCACUUAGUACAGGAAAUUACCGCUCAGCUAAUGAGUACAACCACAUAUAAAACCAAGUCCCAAGGUCACCUGUUCCUCAAAUCAAAGUCCCUGUUCACUUAUUUCCAGCUCUGUUAAGAUCCAGUGUGUGUUUUGACUUUCCUGGUCUUAGGAAAGACUCCCAGGUGGAUUUAUUUCCUGGGCAAUUGCCGAGGAUUAUGGGAUGUGUUCUAGAGCGCACAGCUGAAAUGGGCCUGUUGAACCCCAUCGUCACAAGGGAUGGGAUUCACAACCAUGUAUGUACUCAUUUGUUUGUUUUUUUCUCACAGUGACACAGGAUAAGCUCAGUUCAUUUUGGUCCACAGCUCGUAAAACUGCAUGUCAGCUUAGCCUGCUCUCACGCUUUGUAAAAAUGAUAUAGCUGACAUUGAUUCUGCAGGCUGCGUUGCGAGAACUCCUUGCGCAACAGAUUUCUCCACCUGCAGUUCUGCUGCUGUUCACUAUUACCCAUGGUCAUCAUGUAACAAUUUGCAUAUCCCCAGGGGUAUUAUAAUUUAUCUUGCUGUGUCUUUGUGCAAUACAAACAAAGCAACAGUCUCAUCUCUUUUAAAUUUCACCUGCAAUUUCUUCUCCUUAUUUUGGUCUUCAUGCGAGCAACAAAAUGGUAAAUAGAAUAGGAGAGCAGAGUUAGGUUACUGACUGCUGAGUAGGCAUGUGAGGAAUGGAUUUCUGGCUAACCCAGUAAUGUAAAUAAAUGGUAUUAUUUUUAUUAUCAGCUGUUGGAAUGUCAAUGCCAUCGCGGUGAACUGCAUGUAUUCAUGUACAACUUUUACAAAAACAAAAAGAAAAAAGACCCUGAGUUGCCCUUCUCCUCCCCCAUCCCACAAAUAAUGGUAGGAAACAAGAUUAAAAACAUACCAAUGAAUGUUAACGGCUACUGUUAUUGCCUCAAUUAAACAGAGUUAAAGGGAACACACAUCAGCAGCACAGCAGAUCUGACACUGAAAUGGUUUGCCCAAUUAUAAUAGCCUGGAUCAAUAAGUUGUUUGUCAGUAUCAAUAUUACUUUUCAUAUUAAUCCCAAUAGAAUUUCAUGUAAAUCCACUCAUACAAGGUGAUAGCCAAUGUCAGUCAUGCUCAGGGAGGACUUACUGAAAUCAACAGAUUUAAGUAAUGUUAUGAGUUUGUGGUGUUAAGCUGGGUACCAGUCCCCUCUAAUCAAUGGAUCCAGUGAGGGUUAGAAUUUAACCAAGAAUUUAACCAACUUCUAAUUCCUGGAAUAGCCAGGCUAGCCUUUUUGGUGAGGCAAUAGUGAUGAGCCAUUAAAAGGGAUUAAGGGGCUCAGUGCAAGAUGGCAAAGGGGUGAGGUCCCCUCACUCAACAGAAAAAGGCAGAGUUUGAAGUUGAAAGUGGGGGUGGUGUGAAGCAGCAAGUUGGAGAGUCAGAACAACAUUUGAGAGCAUUGUUUGAUUUCUGUUUGAAUCCAAGGCUGCAGCUAUGGGAGAAACAAGACCCUUCUGGGAUGUUAAUGCUGUGAGCCCCUCCAUUGCAAGUUCAGAUUGUAUAUAUGGGUAAAUAAACCUUAUAUCAUAAAGACACCACAGUCUCCGCUGUGCCUCAUUUCCAAAAGGAAAUCUGAACCCUUGCUAAGCGCUUGGAAUCCCUGGAAUCUCGCAUCACUUGGAGAUUGGGGUGAUAUGCAACAAGAAUUUAACUCCAUUGAUUUUUAUGGGCCUAACACUGAGUGUGACUUAGUUGGAUAUCACCCAUUGUUUAAUUAGGUUAGGAUAAGUUCCAAGAUUGGUGCCAUUUAUCCCUUCACAUAGCGUUUUGCCGCUGCUCAUUUUGUGCAACCAUACCCUUAAGUUAUUUCCCUGCAACUCUAUUAUUAACAUAUCUUUAUCCCCCCAAAAAACCCUCCUGCCUCCGCCUUUUCUUUUCCAAAUGUAGUAUUUUAAUUUUUGUGUGCCUGCUUCUUGAAACUUUCCUUCUGAUUAAAUAGCAAAUGAAUAAUUCCAAAGUAAUUAACAUGGAUGUUAUUGGAUGUACACUGAUGAUUACAUUAUAGGACUGGUUAUCAAAGGAUUACAGCUAAGAGGUUUAAUAUUCUCCAGCUGAUCCCGUGGCAAAUUAAUCUGGCCUGACCUCUAAUGUUCUUUGUUAUGUCACCAAAGUAUCAUUUCAGCUGCAUCAUCCCUUACUCAUUUAAAUAAUAGUGAUGAUAAAAUGAACGUACUCUGAAACUCCAGAAUGCUAUUUUUAGAGGAAGAUGUCAUUUUGUGUGUUUGUACUGACUACUGAAAACGCGUGAAAUUCUAACAAAUCCACUGUUACAAACCCUGGCAUUCACAGCAACUGACUCACUAUUACAGAAGAGACAGGAGUAGUUCAGAACACCACUGAGGCCAUAAUGUUCUUCAUGAAGCUCAAGAACAUAAGGGCAAUACAUGAUGUAGUCCUGCUGCAUUAUAUAGAUAUGAUUCACUUGAAGGAAAGAAAGAGUAGGAAUGUUUGGGUAUAAGAACAUUUUGUGGGUCUCCGCUUCAUGAGCGCAUGGGCGUUUUCCACAGUAAUGGGCAAAAUCAAGACACACGGGUUAUGUAUUUGCAUGUUCAGACCCAGAAACCUCCCCUCUAAAUAAAUUCACACUUGACUCAAAUUUUGGCUUUGGUUUUUGGCAGAAUUUAGGCCACAACUUUAUUGAUUACAGAAAGUGACUGGUUGCAUAGGCUCUGGUUCGACUAGCUCCCUGCCAUGCAGGUAGCACUGACUCAGGGUUCCAGCAUAGGUCAGCCAAGGGUGAACACCUGGAUAAGCGGAAAGCUGGGAACAGGCUCUCUCCACCACACAAAUGUCCCCCUGGACUCAGGCACGGGCACAACCCCCUCUCAGGGUUUGACCAAACCAUUGAGUCCCUGGAUUCCUUUAAUGAAAUACCCUUCACAUAGGGAUGGUGAGAGCUUUCUCCCAUCCCUAUCACCUGAACCAGAGCCUAUCCACAACCUUACAAGUUGUGACGAUUUGCUACGUGGCAGGCGAAACCCAAAUGGCAACAGCCAAUUAGCCAAGUGGGGGAAAUUCCUGCUGUGGCCCUGUCCCAAUGACACACGACGGCAUAUCAAGGUCAAGUGCAAAGCCCUAAAAGUAGGGAGAGGUGGGUGGGUGUUCUGAAUGCAUGCACCAAAAGAGGAAGCUCUGGGUCACGUGAAUAGGUAUAUAUAGGUCCCUUGAUCCAUUUAGCCUGCCUCCCAUUGGCCAGAUUGCAACCAGCUUUGAGGCACCUACCAGUCAGGUGCUGUGGCUAUCCAAACGUACCCACCCACAACACAGGGUGUCAGUUUUCCAGGUCUCCCUGCAAUACAUGCCCUCUUUAAGGGAGGACCCGAUUUUUCACCAUGUAAUUUGGCCUAAAACGGUGCACAUUAAAUACAGGAUAUCCCCUUAUAAUUGCUAUAGCAAUUAUAUGAGAGGAUUCGGCAAGAAUACCUUUCAGGUCUCUUACAACUCUAUUAUUAUCUGCAGUUGCUCCCAGUCUGUGGAAUGCUCUCCCCAGGGAAGUUUGCUUGACACCUGCAUUAUACAUCUUUAGGCACAGGGCAAAAAUGUUCCUUUUUAACCAGGCCUUUGGUUGAUCUGAUUUACAUCCUAUGCCCUUUUAAAAUGUGGGGGUUGGGGGUUGGGAGGGGACUAUUGGGUUGCUGUUUUUAUUUUUAUUAGGUAUUUUGUGGUUUUAUAUCUUGAUUUUAUUCUGUGAACCGCCCUGAGACCCCCAGGUACACGGCGGUAUAUAAAUUCAAUAAUAAUAAUGAUAAUGAUAAUAAUGAUAAUAAUAUUCUCUGGGUACCAUUGUCUGGUGAAGCAUUAAGAUCAAGUAAUGGAAGCUGGUUAGAUUUGCCAUGGCCUAAUGAUUAUUGCUUUCUUGCAAUAUAGAGGUGAGCUGUUUCAUUGGUGCCAUGACCGUUGUGGAAUGAUCUCCCUGCUGAAAUAUGAGAGACCCCAUCAGUAACGGCACAUUAAUAGUUAAAUCAGUAUAAAAUAACCCUACAGUUAGAUGCUUAGAGGCUUACCAAUGGACUUGGAAGUCCCACUCUUUUCAUUCAAUCUCAUCGGGAGAUAAAGCUGUCUGUCUGCUCUUUAGUUAGUGAUCUCUAAGGAGCAGACAGAGUCCUUUAUCUUUUUGCACGAAGCACCACUGGUGCUAAGAUUGGAGAUAUAGCCUGCCUAUUCUUUAAGAUAAUGGGACGCAGGUGGAGGUGUGGUCUAAACCACAGAGCCUAGGGCUUGCUGAUCAGAAGGCUGGCGGUUCGAAUCCCCACAACGGGGUGAGCCCCUGUUGUUCGGUCCCAGCUCCUGCCCACCUAGCAGUUUGAAAGCAUGCCAUGUGCAAAUAGAUAAAUAGGUACUGCUCCGGCGGGAAGGUAAACGGCGUUUCCGUGCACUACUCUGGUUUGCCAGAAGUGGCUUAGUCAUGCUGGCCAGAAGAGGAGGAGGAAGAGGAGUUUGGAUUUGAUAUCCUGCUUUAUCACUAGGCUAAGGAGUCUCAAAGUGGCUAACAUUCUCCUUUCCCUUCCUCCCCCACAAAAAACACUCUGUAAGAUGAGUGGGGCUGAGAGACUUCAAAGAAGUGUGACUAGCCCAAGGUCACCCAGCAGCUGCAUGUGGAGGAGCGGAGACACGAACCCUGUUCACCAGAUUACAAGUCCACCGCUCUUAACCACUACACCGCAAUCACAGAACCUCCAAAUGUCCCUAUUUUCCAGGGACAAUCCUGGAUUUACGGAAGCUGUCCCAGUUUCUGAUUUGAUCCUGGAAUGUCCCGCUUUUCCUUAGGACGUUCUUAUUUUCACCAAACAAAGGUUGGAGGGUAUUGUAGAACAUCCCUAUUUUCUUUGGAGAAAUGUUGGAGGGUAUGAAGUUAAGCGACCCCUGAGCCAAGGAGAUAAGUACCUAUGCAACCUUUAGAAGAUAUCUGAAGGUAGCCCUGUAUAGAGAAGAUUUUCAAUGUUUACUGUUUUAUUAUGUUUUUAUAUAUGUUGAAAGCUGCCUAUAGUAGCUGAAACAAUCUAGUAAGAUUAUUAUUAUUAUUAUUAUGGAAUAGAAUGACCCUAUUUUCAUCAGAGAAAUGUUGAAGAGUAUAUAACCACGCAUCCUAGCAUUGGCUGUGUGAAGAUUGAUCCUCCAAAUCUCCUGCUGGCAACUCAAUAUCAGUCUGGCUGUACCAUCAGAAACUCCAAAAUAAAAGCUGCGUACAUGUACAUCUCCAAGCUUGUCAUCUCCUCUUGCUCGAGAACAAGUGGCCAUGAGAUGAGAUCAGUCUCAUGACUAGGUUAUAUAAAUGUGAAAUAUAAGCAACAUGUGAUCUUGAAUGCCGGCUCCACUGGAAUUCAUGUAAAGCAUCUCACACUUCACUCACCAGAAGCAGAAUGUUGAUGCUGCACAGACAUGAGAAAUAUUGUUAACAAGUGAAAGCCCAUAGACUCGGCUAAGGAAAAUAGCUCCGUUCAAAGAGCACAAUGUGCUCAGAACAGAAUUCUGCAUUUGGCCAAUUGUAACAGCAUUUAGAUACAUAUUCAAAGCCAAUAAGGGCCACUGAGCCAGUACCUAGAUAUGGAAUCCUCCAUCCUUAGCACUCUUUUGAGACAUAUUUUAAAGCAGUCACCUGUAUCAUAUUUACUUAUCAUUUAUUAUUUCAACACUUGCCCUGUCUUUGUGCACAAAACACCCACUGCAACCAAGAACAAUAAAACAUGAAAUUGCAAUAUAAUUUUAAAACAUUAAAAAAGAGAGAACAUUGGAUAUUUGUGCAUCUGAGAAAUCCAUCCGAGGUGAUACAUUUGAAGACCAAAUUACAAUCCAGCAAUAGCAGGAAUAGGAAAGGAUUACAUCACAGAAAACUUUCCUGAAUUUUAUGCUGACUCAUGGUUGCACAGCCAAACACUAAGAAAGAGGAUGUGGGGACUUUUUACCUGCAGAAACAAGAAUGUUGCUUGAUCAGUGCUAUAGAAAAGGAAUUAAAGUGCAACUAGGGGAAUUACCAAAAACUCUACACCGUAUAAUUAAAGUAUAAGGGUUUGAAUUGCUUUUUGUUGCACAGUGUUGGGAUUUUUGCAGAACUGGGGAGGAAAGGCAGUGAAAGGAAAAGGCUAAUUGAACUCACAGAACAUAAUCCUAAUCCUGCUAAAAUCAGUGAAACUUGAUAUUUAUGGGACUUUCUGUCAAAUUGUACCCAUAGAAGCUAAUAGGGCUAUAGCAGUUAGGGGGAGAGUGACAACUGAAGUUUCAAUGUUUCAGACCUUUUGCAAUACAGUACCUGCCUACAAAAUCUGACAUUUCAGUGCAAGUUUGAAAACUAGGCGUUUCCUCAUGUUUUGGGUGGGGGGAGAGAGGGAAUUUCUAUGGCACUAAGUUAAGGUGGCCCCAUAUUUGCAGAUCUGUUUGAUAGCAAAAGAAAGGGGGGAAAGGUAAAGGACCCCUGACAGUUAAGUCCAGUCGUGAAUGACUCUGGGGUUGCGGCGCUCAUCUUGCUUUACAGGCCGAGGGAGCUGGCGUUUGUCUGCAGACAGUUUUUUCAGGUCAUGCGGCCAGCAUGACUAAACUGCCUCUGACAAAACUAGAGCAACACCUGGAAACGCCAUUUAUCUUCCCACUGGAGCAGUAACUAUUGAUCUACUUGCACUUUGAUGUGCUUUCAAACUGCUAGGUUGGCAGGAGCAGGGACCGAGCAACGGGAGCUCACCCCGUCACGGGGAUUCGAACCGCUGACCUUCCAAUCAGCAAGCCCAAGGCUCAGUGGUUUACACCACAGUGCCACCCACAUCCCUCUAGCAAAAGAAAAGCAUUGAGUUUAACAGUUUCCUUGUCCGACCAGUUCCAUCUUCCCACCUUAAACUGCAAAACUACAAUCUGAUUAUAAACUAGCAAUUUGAGGUUGGCAUUUGAAGGGAAAGAGCAAAAGAGUCACACUUGUUACAUAAGGUGGAAUGAAACACAGUAGGUGGGUAUGUGAUGCUCAGGAAUAAACAGGGUGGGGGGCUGCUCCUCAAGGACCUCCACAAACUAAACUGCCUUAUGUCCUCUCCCCAUUUGCUUUUCUCAAACGCCCAUAGCUGAUGCUUCCCAGUUCUGGAACAAGGCACCAGUUAUGCCCCUGCACCAAAGAGGCAGGCCUUGGAGAUUAUUCCCAGAUGCUUUAGCACUUGAGUGACAGAUUAUAAGACUGGGCUAUAAAUAUAAUGCUUAAUACGUAAGCUUGGGUGGCUUGCUGAUAACUCUUUGGAAAAGUCUCAUUAGAGUAAAUGCUGGCUCCAUUUAUGUAAGUAUUUUUAAGAAGCAAACAAGCAGCCUGCUGUUUUACAAGUCAAUUGAUUCUAUUAAAGUUUUAUUCCCAUUAUAACUUCAUCCACCUGAAGCUGCUGAACAUCAAGACAGGCUUUAUUAAUGACAGUAGUUGCAGUCAUUGCUAUUAUUUGCACUUAUAUACUGCUGUGUGCUUUCAGGAAGCUAUAAAAAUAUUGCCCAAUUCAAUGCAACGUAAUGCCAGGAUUAUGCCACAUUAAAACUGAUUUUAUUUUAAUUUUUCUUUGUUCCCUAUUCAUAUUUUUUGUAAGCUAACUUCAUCCUUUACUGCUCUCAUCGCUCCUCCCUCUGCUGUCUAUCACACAGUCAAAAUUAUAUUAUAAACUCCUUGAUUAUUCAAACCAGUUCUGUGCCAAAAUUACUGCUUUGGGGGGUUUUUUUUGUGUGUGUGUGUGCUUUUCUGUGCAUUCUCCCAUCAGUUAAAGAGAAAAGAAACUGCAUUUGAAAAUUAUUAAAGGGGAGAGGAAAUCUCAGUGAAAUUCUCAGGUGGGCUACAGGGUUUUGGUUGUGUUCGUCUUAUUUUGGGAGUGUUUGUGAGUGUCCUUUCUUUCAUUCUAGAAACCAUCAGGGAAGUAUGACAUAAGGAAACUCCUCCCAUGGGUCUUUUUUUCAGAAUUGGAGGUGCAGCUGACCAGGGAGGUGAGCAAUGCUUAAUGGGCAGAAAAACCAGAAGACAUAUUGCAGCACUGAACUAAUUAAAAGAAUGACAUCUGCACCUGACUCUUUUGCAUUGACUUUGAAGUAAUGGAUUUUGCAUGCAUGACCCACAAGGAAGAGAAUUAGUGAGAAUACAGAGGCUCUCUCUCUCUUUUGCAACCUUGCAGAUACAGUGGUACCUUAGUUUAUGAACUUAAUCCAUUCUGGGAGUCCAUUCUUAAAUCAAAGCAUGCUUUCCCAUAGCAGCAGGGGGACUCAAUUUACAAAUGGAACACACUCAACAGGAAGCAGAACAUGUUCUGCUUCCAAGGCAAAGUUCACAAACCAAAACACCUACUUCCGGGUUUGCAGCGUUCUUAAUCCAAGUUGUUCAUAAACUAAGCUGUUCUCAAACCAAGGUACUACUGUACAAAGAAAGAACAGAAGAGGUUGAAUCCAGGGUGGUGUGCAUUUUAUUAAUACCAUUCACACACAAAACUGGAAGACCUUUUCCGACAUGCCUGGCACGGCUGCAACAGUUUGAUGAGGCAAUUAUAAGUGGCUACAAAGUUAAAUUUGGAAUUGUGAUUUCAUAUUAUUAUCAGUGUCGCGGUGGCAGCUACUCCUUUCAACUGAGAUUUCAGGUUUCUGACACCCUAGAGCAGAACAUCGUAUUCUCAAAGGCACUGAAAAACUUAUCCACAUGCUAGGGUUGACCCUGAUCAUUGUUUCCUAGGGAGUUUGCCUGGCCUUGCCAUUUACCCAUCUUAACAGUUUUAAAACAAAGCAUACAGAGAGAUGGCUGGAAGGCAGAGGAGGCUAGAGAUGUAUUGUGCCUACUGUUGCAGUGAAUGAAUAAAUUCCAGGUGUUUGAUGAUAUGCAAGCAGUGGUCUUACCUAGACAGAUGAUUUAUAAGGCACAGGGGGGGCAGCCAAACGACAGCAAUGUUGUCCUAGUUACACUCUGAGGUUGCCGAUUUGGUGAAUAUGAAAGUUAAAGACACUCCUGCCCCAGUUUCAAGGGAAUCCUACAUUUCUCAGACGUUUUGGGCACUUUGGAAAAUAUUCACUUCUUAGGUCUUGCUCCUCCAAAUACAAGGCGCAGGUGGAAAAGUUAAUUAAGAAUAACAAAGUCCACCUUUGCCAGAAGUGAUGACAGAUCUGUUUCUUUAGCUGGUUUGGUACAUGUUUUCUUUGGGAAACAAGAGCCAUUGAACAGAUUUGUGUUACAAGAGUAACUUUCCUUUAUAAUUAAUUAAUUGAUGACUUAGUUAAUCCAUUCUGUGCGAUACAGUCACUUUGACAGCAAGCAUUACAAUCCCUUUGUCAGGUUGUUAGUGACCGACCACUGACUAAAUGCAUGACUCGGUUGGUUGUUUUUUUCUGUUUGAGAAAAUAGGCCACAGAAAGGAACCCCGAAGUGCAAAGGAAAUAAAAUGUUUUGCUUUCUUUAUGCAAUCUUUAAAUUCUUCCAUCGCCAGAGGUCUUCCUGCAAAUCAGCUGUGUCUUUAUUAAAGCGCAAAAUAAAAGUGGGACAAAGUCAUUACCAAAUGUAUUCGGAGUAAACUCAGGGCCCAUGGGAUAAGAGGACAGGACCUUUUGUGGACUGGUAUCUGAAUAAAGAACAGGAAGCAGGGGUCAGGGUUACAUGGACAGGGAAGUAAGCACCAGGGAUCCCCAAGGAUCUGCAUUAGUAUUCAAGCACAAAGAAAGUGAGCAGUUAGGUAGUCAUGUUUUUUGGGUUGAUAAAAACCCAAGCAGAUAGCAGAGAGCUCCAAAAGGAUUUGAGGGUGUGGGUGGAAAACAACCUGGCAAAUGAGGUCCGCUGCAAAUGUAAAGUGGAGCGUAUUAGGGCAAACCCUCCUGACUUCCAGCCUUAGGAAUUAUAGGGUGUUUUCUAGUAAUGUCAAAACGAAAAAGAGAUUUUGGGAGUAGCCAUGGAUGGCUCAACUACAAUAUUGUCAAUGUACCGUGGCAUUGAAAGAGGUUAGUGAUGACAAGCAAAGGGACUGGAAAUAAUGUAGACUUGAUCAAAAUGCCUUUGCACUUAUAUAGCAGUAGGCCUCAAUGGUCCAAGGUACCUCAUAAAGCAGUGGGCUCAUUGUCAAAUCUUUUAUUCCCAUCUGCCCAGUGGAGGGGGACUACUUUGCAUUAAACAGCAUAUAGCUCUAUUUUGGGAACACAGCAAACUCCCAGUGCACUUAUGGAUUUUCAGUGUCUCUGUUGCAUUUAAAAGCUGCGAAAAGGUCCAUCAGAACGAUGUUGUUCAAGCACACCUCCUUCUGAGAACACAAUCGAUUUCUCAUUUUGUACUUGGUUCCAUCCAAAAUGAAAACUCUUCCCGGUCUAAAAUCCAUUUCCUUCCACUAAGGCUGCAUCUUAUGCAAACUUUCCUGUGCUCAGAUAUAGCAGGGCUUUCUUCUGUUGCAAAGUAUUGCACCGCAAGUUUCUGAUAUCACUAAGCCAGAGGUUUUCAACCUUUUUGACUCCACGGCUCCCUUGAUCAACUACAUUCUUUCUGCGGCACCCCUGUGGGGCUCAGGAGCCCAGUUAUGUCACCCCUUGCCUGCAGAGCUGGCAGCCCCUCACCCUUUUUCAAACACCCUCCCUUGUGGAGUGUUGCCUCAGGCACUUCUCGUAUUCCCUCUACAGUGGUACCUGGGGUUACAGACGCUUCAGGUUAAAGACUCCGCUAACCCAGAAACAGUACCUCGGGUUAAGAACUUUGCUUCAGAAUGAGAACAGAAAUGGCGCAUCGGCGGCGCGGCAGCAGCAGGAGGCCCCAUUAGCUAAAGUGGUGCUUCAGAUUAAGAACAGUUUCAGGUUAAGAACAGACCUUCAGAAUGAAUUAAGUGCUUAACCCGCGGUACCACUGUACUUGGGAGUCCUCCAGGCAGCUGCUGCCCCUGAUCUCUGAGCUGUCCCCACCCCACCCCAAAGAGAAGCGCCUCUCUGAGGCACCAUUCAUCUGGGGAGGUUGCAGUCAGGGCUGCUGCAACAAACAGGUGUGCAAGCCUUUGGGAGGCAAAGACAAGAGAGGACAUCAGAGAGAAAGGGGAAGAAAGAGGGACAGAGGACAAUGUUGCCCGCAGCACACCUGACCAUCAUUCAAGGCACCCCAGGGUGCCAUGGCACACUGGCUGAAAACCACUGCACUAAGUUUCCAAAGUUUAACUAUAACUAGACUAAAGUAGAAGCAAAUUGGAAUGGGUAAAAUCAUGCAAAAAAAUGACAAAGAUGACCAGAAAUAUUCCCCAUCCCUGACUAGCAAAUCCUUUAAAGGUAAAGGGACCCCUGACCAUUAGGUCCAGUCGUGGCCGACUCUGGGGUUGCGGCGUUCAUCUCGCUUUAUUGGCCGAGGGAGACGGCGUACAGCUUCCGGGUCAUGUGGCCAGCAUGACUAAGCCACUUCUGGUGAACCAGAGCAGUGCAUGGAAAUGCCGUUUAUGUUCCCACCAGAGCAGUACCUAUUUAUCUACUUGCACUUUGACAUGCUUUCAAACUCCUAGGUUGGCAGGAGCAGGGACUGAGCAACGGGAGCUCAUCCCAUCACGGAGAUUCGAACCACCAACCUUCUGAAAUAACAUUCGUACAGGGCUUGAAGGCUCUAUGGUUUAACCCACAGCACCACCCGCGUCCCUUUUAGCACAUCCUUUAGAAUGAAAUAAAAAUCAUGUCCAAACAGGAGCAGAUAGGAAACCAGGAAAAGCACAGAAAUGCGGAAGGCAGAGAUAUUGCAAACAUCUCUUCCCUGCCCCCCUUAGUGCAGGGACAUUUGCAGUGAAAAUAAAAAAAUUGGUGCCACAUUAGUGUGGUUAUGUCAGAUCUCUCAAGUGAGGGAUCCUGGUCCAGAAAUAAUUCACAUUUACUGGAUUAUUCAUGACAUCUUAGUGGGUGUUCAAAGCAUCUGGCUUCUUCUCGUUUAACAAAUAUGAAUUUUACAUCACGUUUCAUUCAUUUAAAUCACAUUUUAAUAUUGAGUGUUGACAUAUUAAUUUAGAACGAUAAGGAAAUAGUCGUUUGUAUUGGGUAAAAUAAGUUCCAUGCGUGGUGUGUGGUUUUUUCAUGCUUAAUCGGUUCAUAUCUUGCCUGCACAAAAGAUAACACAAAUGAAGUGUGUAUCUCCUUUCUUUCCAACUGUGACUGACCUAUAUUAACCUGGCUAUUUAAUACCACAGGUUUCACCUUUCCAACACAAAAGGGACAGAGGUUGGCUCCCUCGCCCCACUUUCCUAUUCUCCCUCCUAGCUCUGUGUUGUUUGCAAGAAUGGAACACACCAUUGUUUUCCACUAAUGAUGCCUCUCCGAGCUGAUCAGGUUAACGGUGGGUAGCAGCUGGAGUUUAAUUUGUGAGUGUGCAAAUGAAAAUUAUACACUUACUGAAUUACUGCAUCUCACCAAGAGGUUGGCGCACUGCCGGCUUCGCUUCAAAAAAAGAAAUAACAUUCGUACAGGGCUUGAAGGAAUUAUUGGAAGCAUGCUAAAUUUUGUUACCAUAGUGGCAUUUGUUCUGAAUAAGUUGGUGUCAAAGGGAGAGAAUUACUUAGACAUUCAAGUGCUUAAUUUGGGGAGUUUAUCACUCAUCUCCCCCUACAAUAAAUUAAUGAAUGUAGAUCUAAAUAUAAUUCCCAUUGCCAUAUCACAGAGAAUAUCCCCAUGGUACUAAUAAGCCCCUGGCCAACCCGAGACACUUUUCUGCCUAAGGCAAAGGACAAAAUAGAGACGCCACCCCACAAUUCCAUGACAGGACUUGUUGUUUAGUCAUUUAGUUGUGUCCGACUCUUCGUGACCCCAUGCACCAGAGCACACCAGGCACUCCUGUCUUCCACAGCCUCCCUCAGUUUGGUCAAACUCAUGUUCGUAGCUUCUAUAACUCUGUCCCACCAUCUCGUCCUCUGUCAUCCCCUUCUCCUUGUGCCCUCAAUCUUUCCCAAUAUCAGGGUCUUUUCCAGGGAGUCUUCUCUUCUCAUGAGGUGGCUAAAGUACUGGAGCCUCAGCUUCAGGAUCUGUCCUUCCAGUGAGCACUCAGGGCUGAUUUCCUUCAGAAUGGAUAGUUUUGAACUUCUUGCAGUCCAUGGGACUCUCAAGAGUCUCCUCCAGCAUCAUAAUUCAAAAGCAUCAAUUCUUUGGCGAUCAGCCUUCUUUAUGGUCCAGCUCUCACUUCCAUACAUCACUACUGGGAACACCAUAGCUUUAACUAUAUGGACCUUUGUCGGCAAGGUGGUGUCUCUGCUUUUUAAAAUGCUGUCUAGGUUUGUCAUUGCUUUUCUCCCAAGAAGCAGGCGUCUUUUAAUUUCAUGCUGUCACCAUCUGCAGUGAUCAUGGAAAAAGAACCGGCAAGCCACUCCAGUAUCCCUGCCAAGAAAACUCCAUGGACAAUAACAACAGGAAUAUAAAAGUUAUGACGCUGGAAGAUGAGCCCCUCAGGUCAGAAGGUGUCCAACAUGCUACUGAGGAAGAGCGGAGGACAAGUACAAGUAGAUUCAGAGCUGAUGAAGCAGGUGGGACAAAGCCCAGUGGUAGGGCCUGCUCUGGUUAAGCCAAAGAGGAGGGCUGUGAAAGUCAAACUAAGAGGAGACCUAUGCUUCAGGUUUCACCUGAAUCUCCCUAGAAUAUGAACCAUUUUUAGGCCUGCAUUAGAGAUGACACAUGCUCACGGUCUAGGACCCUUGUACCUACAGGACCUCCUCUCCCGGUAUGCCCCACGGAGGACCUUAAGGUCCCUAAAUAGCAACACCCUAGAGGUCCCGGGCCCUAAGGAAGUCAGAUUAGCCUCAAGCAGAGCCAGGGCCUUUUCAACACUGGCUCCGGCCUGGUGGAAGGCUCUGUCUCAUGAGACCAGGGCCCUGCGGGAUCUGAUUUCUUUCCGCAGGGCCUGUAAGACAGAAUUGUUCUGCCUGGCCUUUGGCUUAGAAUCAAUUUGAUUCCCUCCCCCUCUUUCUUUUUU